rnacentral:rRNA from 1 species
GAAAGCCCGGGAUCUUCGGACCUUGCGCUAAUAGAUGAUCCUAUAUCGGAUUACCCACUUGGUGGGGUAAAGGCCUACCAAGGCCACCAUCUGUAGGGGGUCUGAGAGGAUGAACCUCCACACUGGAACUGACACACUGCCCCUACUCCUACGGCAGGACUCCUUGGGGAAGAUUGGACAAGGGGGGGAACCCUGAUCCAGCCAUGCCGCGUGAGUGAAGAAGGCCUUAUGGUUGUAGAUUUCUUGUCGCAAAGAUGAGGCUACUUUGAUUAAUACCUGCUAAUUGUGGACGUUACUCCCUUAACAGUCCCCAGCCAAAUCUGUGCCACCAACUACGUGCCUACAGAGGGUGCAAUAGUUAAGUGGAUUUACUGGGCGUAAAUUAUGCGUAGGCGGCUUAUUACAUGUGAUGUCUUAUCUCCGAUGUUAACUUGGGAAUUGCAUUCGAUACUGGUGAGCUAGACUAUGGGACAUGAUGUGCAGAAUUAGGAAAGUGGAAUUCCAUGUGUAUCGGUGAAAUGCGUAAAGAUAUGGAGGAACACCACUGGCGAAGGCAACUUUCUGGUCUGUGACUGACACUGAGGCGCGAAAACGUGAGGAGCAAACCUGAUUAGAUACCCUGGUAGUCCA